rnacentral:rRNA from 1 species
UACGUAGGGUGCAAGCGUUGUCCGGAAUUAUUGGGCGUAAAGAGCUCGUAGGCGGUCUGUCGCGUCGGAUGUGAAAAUCCAGGGCUCAACCCUGGACCUGCAUUCGAUACGGGCAGACUAGAGUUCGGUAGGGGAGACUGGAAUUCCUGGUGUAGCGGUGAAAUGCGCAGAUAUCAGGAGGAACACCGAUGGCGAAGGCAGGUCUCUGGGCAUUAACUGACGCUGAGGAGCGAAAGCAUGGGGAGCGAACAGG